GCUAAAUUUUAUGCAUCACUGAAUACCGUUUUGCUUGCGUCUCCAUAUUUCUGCAUUCGAAAAUCUGACUGAUAGCCAAUAAAUAGUCUAAUACUGCUGAUGCCAGUGCUUAUUAGUAAAAUAAAAUGACAUAAUGUUUUGUGUAAAAUAAAAGAUUGAUAUGCUGGCCAGAUUUAAUAAGAAUUAUAAACAUGUCACGGUUUGGUUAAAAAGGAGACACCAGCUUAACGUGACUGCAGCUGAAGAAGUUUUAAAAGGGGAACUUUAUUUUUUGUACAAUAUAUAAGAUUCAGUCUAAAGAAAGACAGGAUAUAAGUGGAGAUAGGAUAUAGUGUAAAAAAGCAUAAAAGCCGAUCCACGAUGCUGGGGGACAUACAGACCUAUACAGUGGACGCAGAAAAAGCGCGUGAGGCAGCAAGACGAGACGUCCUCCCGAUUUUCACAGUGACACUUACGCAGCUCUAGAUGUGAAGAAUCAGUCACCUGACUAUGAUACUCUGAUGAUGCUGAAGCCUGCAGCCAGUGACAGACACCCUGCAGUUUAGGAGUCAGCAGUUUAUGGAAAUAUGAUGUAUAGUGAAAAAGGACAAUAUCAGGGAUCAAACCAUGUGGCCUAAAAUCACCAACCAGGCAUUUAUGUAGAGUUAUAUGUAUAUGUGCACAUUUUGCAGAUAUUUAAAGGUUUCAGUUUGCUUAGAACUUCCCAGGAUUCCAGUUUUUGAUUGGUUUUGUUGCAGAUCAGCAAAUCUGCAGGAGUGCAUUGUGUACAAGGCACUCUCUCAGCUGUCCCUGUUCACUGUGGUAGUGCGUACGUCUCUCCUCCACGGUGUUUGUGCCGGAGAUGAUCCCAAGUUCAGAUUCUCCAUCCUCCCCAUGCAGCUGGGUAGUGUGUCACCCCUCUGUUAUCCUUCAGCAGAAGCAGGACAGAAAUCCUACAGCACGGUGUUGGCUCCGACGCACUGGUCUGGCUCUGACACACUGGUCUGACGCACUUCCUGGACUCGUGGCGCUGACCAAAGUCUCUCUUCCACUCCUCACUCUACUAUUUGCCACUCGCUUCAUUAACUGCUCAUUUCUCUAAUGUCUUGAAUGAUGAACAUGUUUAGGUUUGAUUUUCACUCUGCUGCACUGUAACCCAAAUAAAGCAUCGCUCUGUAACUGGCGCAGGGGCCUUCAGGAAACUUCCACUGGGCAUUAAAAACAAACUCCGUGUCAGCAGCUAAUGGGCGACUUUGUGGCUGAGCAGGAUAGACCUGGAUGCCUGAGGUCAGUGUUGGGCCCUUGGUCUGACCCGGCUUCCUCUAAGAUGUAUGUUGCUUUGGAUGAAAUCAUCUGAUAAAUAAAUGAUCUGAUAAAU